GUCGGUCAUGGAGUGCUGAGAUAUCGAGUGCUUAACGUUGAGGUAUCAAUUAUGUGAUAUUGAGGUAUCGACCACUUGAUGUCGAGAUAUCAUACAUGUGAUGUUGAGGUGUUGAUCAUAUAGUCUUGAUAUUGAUAUGUUGGAUGUAUAAGUCUUUGAGGUGUUGAUCACGUGGUCUUGAUAUUGAUAUGUUGGAUGUAUAAGUCUAACGUGUCGACCACGUGAUAUCGAUGUGUGAGUCAUAUUAUUUUACCAAUAACAUCCCUAAAAAAAGAAAGAGAUAAAAU
rnacentral:lncRNA from 1 species